CCGAUGUUCACGAAGUCAUCGGAAGGACGUUCAAGAAAAGCUUCUAAGGGUUGAAGCAUAGCUAACCGUACUAAAACUGACACAGGUAGGUGAGACGAGUAGUCUAAGGCGCUCGGGAGAAUACUGGUUAAGGAACUCUGCAAAAUGGCCCCGUAAGUUCGCGAUAAGGGGUGCCCUCGGCGGUGCAAGCUGCUGGGGGCCACAGUAAAUCGAUUCCUCCAACUGUUUAUCAAAAACACAGGUCUCUGCUAACUCGCAAGAGGAUGUAUAGAGACUGACGCCUGCCCGGUGUCGGUAGGUUAAGGGAGCAGGUUAGCCGUAAGGCGAAGCUCGCGACCGAAGCCCCGAUAAACGGCGGCCGUAACUAUGACGGUCCUAAGGUAGCGAAGUUCCUUGUCGGGUAAGUUCCGACGUGCAUGAAAGGCGUAAUGAGAGGAAGACUGUCUCAACCAGUAACCCGGUGAAAUUGUAGUCGUGGUGAAGAUGCCACGUUCCCGCAGCUAGACGGAAAGACCCCGUGAACCUUGACUGUAGGCUGAUAUUGGGCUCGUGUAUUGACUGUGUAGGAUAGGUGGGAGGCUAUGAACCUUGGGCGCAAGCUCAGGGGGAGCCAUUGGUGAAAUACCACCCUUUUAAUGCAUAAGUUCUAACGCUGAUUCCUGUGAAUCCAGGCAGCGGACAGUGUCAGUUGGGCAGUUUGACUGGGGCGGUCUCCUCCUAAAGAGUAACGGAGGAGCCCAAUAGGCGACCUCAGCCUGGUUGGCAAUCAGGCAUCGAGCGUAAAGGUAUAAGGUUGCUAAACUGCGAGACCCAUGAGUCGAGCAGAUGUGAAAGCAGGGCUUAGUGAUCCGGUAGUCCCGUAUGGAAGGGCUAUCGCUCAACAGAUAAAAGGUACUCCGGGGAUAACAGGCUUAUCGCUCCCGAGCGUCCAUAGCGGCGGAGCGGUCUUGCACCUCGAUGUCGGCUCAUCACAUCCUGGGGGUGGAGAAGCUCCCAAGGGUUUGGCUGUUCGCCAAUGAAAGUGGUACGUAGCUGGGUUCAGACCGUCGUGAGACAGGUCGGUCCCUAUCUACUGUGGGCGCACGAGACUUGAGGAGGUUCUUCUUUAGUACGAGAGGAUUUAGAAGGACGACCCUCUGGUGUUCCAGUUGUCGCGCUAGCGGCACGGCUGGGUAGCUAAGGUCGGAACGGAUAAACGCUGAAGGCAUCUAAGCGUGAAGCCCGCUCCAAGAUUAGGUCUCGUAGGGUAAUACCCGAAAGUCCCCUGGAAGACGACCAGGUUGAUAGGCCGGAUGUGUAAGUACAGUAAUGUAUUCAGCUAACCGGUACUAACGGACUAACGCUU
rnacentral:rRNA from 1 species